GGGGCUAUAGCUCAGCUGGGAGAGCGCUACGCUGGCAGCGUAGAGGUCACCGGUUCGAUCCCGGUUAGCUCCACCA
rnacentral:tRNA from 1 species